rnacentral:rRNA from 1 species
UACAGAGGUCCCAAGCGUUGUUCGGAUUUACUGGGCGUAAAGGGUGCGUAGGUGGUCGGAUAAGUCUGAUGUGAAAUCUCCGAGCUUAACUCGGAAAAUGGCAUUGGAAACUAUUCGACUAGAGAGUUGGAGGGGGGACUGGAAUACUUGGUGUAGCAGUGAAAUGCGUAGAUAUCAAGUGGAACACCAGUGGCGAAGGCGAGUCCCUGGACAACUUCUGACACUGAGGCACGAAAGCUAGGGGAGCAAACAGG